CAGAAUACCCAGUUAAAUUCUAUUUUCAGGUGAACAACCAAUAAAUAUUUAGUGUAAGCAUGUCUCAUGCAAUAUUUGGUACAUACUUAUACUAAAAAAAAAUUCAUCAUUAUUUGAAAUUCAGAUUUAACUGGGAAAUCCUAUA
rnacentral:miRNA from 1 species